GGGCGUUCUGAACUUAGAACUUUCAAAUUAUAUAUGGUUUAUGGAAGAAAUAUGCCACUACUAGAUCUCUUUAUUUUAUCCGUAGAGCCUAAAUCUAGUCUUAAAUUGAAACUACUGACUAUUUUACUGCUGAAAUUAUCUGUAAAAGCUUAAAGCUUUCUAGUCACAUCAAGAUUCUUUUUGAUGUUCCUUCAAUCUGAUAUA
rnacentral:misc_RNA from 1 species